rnacentral:rRNA from 1 species
UACAGAGGUGGCUAGCGUUGUUCGGAAUUACUGGGCGUAAAGGGCGCGUAGGCGGCUUGGUCAGUCCCGUGUGAAACCCCUCGGCUCAACUGAGGAACUGCACGGGAAACUGCCUGGCUUGAGUUCGGGAGAGGGAAGCGGAAUUCCGGGUGUAGCGGUGAAAUGCGUAGAUAUCCGGAGGAACACCGAUGGCGAAGGCAGCCUCCUGGGCCAGCACUGACGCUCAUGCACGAAAGCGUGGGGAGCAAACAGG